GGGCUGGGGGGGCUGAAGCACCUGCCCCUUUUGCAUCUGAUGCCCAAAGUGCCCUUUUGUCAAUUUUUUUUUAAGUGUGUGUGUGUGUGUGUGUGUAUGUGUGUGAAAAUCUGUGUGGUCCAAAAUAAUAAAUAACUCAAACAAACAAAAAAAAUAAUUCAGGUCUACCCUCAGUCGGUCACAUGAUCCAGGUAGACGUCAGUCACGGCCCUGAUGUGCCCUGACGUGCCCCGAAGCUCACCGUUAGCGCUGCUAAUUUAGAAAUGGAAGACCCGAAGGAGGACAACCAAUGGUCUGGUGCUGCUAAUGUUGAAAGGGAAGACUCAAGGAAGGACAACUGAUGGUCCGAGAUGCCUCGUAAGGAGAGGAGGUUGAAAGAUAAACAAAAGGAGCUGCGUGAGGCUGCGAAAGGCAGUGGAUCACUCACCAGCUGGAUCACAAAGAACACAAAAGUGUCUACAGUCUCAGAUCAAUACAGCCCACCUCCAGCAGUGUCAUCAUCAGUAGCAGCAGCCUCCUCACCAACCCCUUCAACAAAAGCUGUUCAAUGAACCCCAUCAGGUCAAACACAGACUGCCUCCUAACAAAGAUAUGAGGUGUGUCGUAUGUUGUGAUUUUAUGUUUCAUUCUUUAAGAAUAUCUGCUGCUACAAUUCACCCAGGUAUAUUGUAGGUAUGUUUAUGGUGUUUCAAAUUCGUGCUCCAUGUGCCCCCCUUUGAACUUUGAGCACCUGCCCCUCCAAAGGUCUCUGCACGGCCCUGGCUGGCCCACACCAGAACAGAGGAAGAGUUUGAAAACAUGUAUCAACAGGCUACAGAGAAGGCUGCAUCAGUGGGCCUGGACCCGCCAAAUAAGAUUCCUGGUCAAGCUAGGAGGAGGAAAAUGCCAGCAAAGUUCAAGGUCAUUGCCACAGCAGCUACUGCUGACCACACUUUCCCUACUUUGCAAGACUACUACCGUGUUAAAGUGUAUUACGCUUUUGUGGACAUGAUGACACAAGAGCUUCAGAGACGCUUUAAAGGAGAAGAUAACUCAACAUGGGAAAUCUUGAAUGCCCUCCACUGCCUGACAGUCCCAGAGAACUGGAAAACAACAAAAAUUCCAACAGAGGCACUGCAAGCUCUGAAGAAACUCUGCCAGUUCUACAACAUUGAAGAAGAAGACAAACUGCAGACAGAGCUUAAGGUCUUCCAUAUGUCAUACUCAUGCCCCUCACCAGUCAGUGUAGCAUCUCUUCUUUCAGCGGUCAGAGAAAACAAUGCACAUCUGGUUUUCCCUAACUUGACUGAGCUGCUGAAGACAUACGGCACACUUCCGGUGUCUACAGCAACUGUGGAACGCUCUUUCUCAAAACUGAAGCUGGUGAAAACAAAACUUCGCACCCUUUGCACAGAAGAGAGGUUGUCAGAGCUUCUUCUGCUGGCAAUUGAGAAGGAUAUUCCAAUCAACCACAGUGAGGUCAUUGACAUUUUUCAGGGCAUGGGCAACAGGAAGUUGCUGUUAUAACUGCAACAAAGAAAAACACAACUUUGUGAUGUGUAAAAAGAAACCACAGACCCAGACAAGCACACACACAUCCCUCCUCUAUUCUCUAUAUCUCAUUAUAAAUGUUCCCUUUUCAGUUUAAUAAAUUAUUAUUAUUAUAGCAUUUCUUGUUGGAAUCAUGUUUGUGUUUUGAGGUUGGAAAACAAAAAUAAAGUUUUGAAAUUAAAAUAAAGAGGUGUCACAAUUGUUUAAUUUUUGUCCU